GCUGGCAGUAGCCAAGUAAUGGAGCUGGAACCCAGGAAGCAGGUGUAGGACUGAUAGUGAAACCGGAGUGGAGAGCAGCCGCCCUCAGGAGCGACUUAUCAGCCGCUCAGGGCCUGAUGGCGUUGGAAGUUCUUGUGAUUCGAUUUCAGGCUUGACAGGAGAGGUCGGCAGGAUGACAAGAAGCUAGCUUGGAGGCCCGAGGAUGCAGUGCACAGGACCUUGUGACGCCUCUCCUACCUUCUCCAGGGCCCGUAGUGACGUUGGCUUCGAUCUCAGGCCCAUAGGUGAAGGUCUUGGCUUUGAUUCGGAAACGGUUCCCUGCCUGCGCACAGGAGAUGGCAACCCUAUGAUGCUGUUUCGACUUUGCCCUCGGAUGCUUUUCCUCUCAGAAACACCCCUUCCUUCCCUGGGUCAAUCUCCCCAUUUAUAAGACAGGAAGAUUC